GCGGGUGUAGCUCAGCGGUAGAGCGUCUCCUUGCCAAGGAGAAGGCCGCGGGUUCAAAUCCCGUCGCCCGCU
rnacentral:tRNA from 1 species